CCCUUCUCUCAUUGCAGUCGACCGAGUAACGUGAGAACUGUCAGUAGUGAUAAAAGAAAGCAAACUUGGUGGCGUCAGUUGGACGAUUUUCUCUUCAGGUAUAAUGGUGUAUGGACGUGAUUGACAAAGAACUCCUCUUCCCCCAAGAAUAUUUCACCUGUGCGUACAAGAUUCUGGAUCGGAUGAAGAGAUGGAGCUGGGUGGGGACACGGUACAUUCGUCCUAGCCUGUCAACGAUUCCAAUCAACUCAGCUCAGCCGCUACUACUUACUUCUGAAAAUCUAAUUUCUGGUUGCAUUCGCUGUCCAAUCCAUUGAACUAUUGGAAGAUUUCAAUUAAUUCUAGAAUCAUUCAAUCCAGGGGUUAACAUACUGUUCUGCCCAAAAAGAAAAAAAAUUAAGAAAACAGCACCUGAUCAGGUUACCCGUGCCAUGGCGGCACAGCUGAGCUGCGGAAGGUCAUCGAGCCGGAAGUGAUCACAAAUGUUAUAAAAUGAACCCAUCGAUCCCUGAUUUAUGCUAACCAAACGCGAAUAAGUGCUAGACCGGAAAGCACGUGAAAUUUUAAUAAAUUAAUUUUAUUAAGAAAGAAUCUGAAAUGUACACAGAAGUUGAUACUCCCCGGAGUAUUAAAUGCGAAGUACAGUGAAUGUAAAUAUGGAGAAAAUGAAUGAAAACCACUUGGCUGGUCUUAUUGAGAUCCACAGGGAAAGAAUCAUCAGAAAUAACUCAGCACACGCUGCAAGAGAAAAAUGUUUAAGAAAACAAAAGAAAUAACUCGUGAUCAACAGCAGACACCAUUACAGCUAAUAACAGCCACCAUUAGCAGUUGGAAUUUGAUUGAUUUUCUCUUAUUCUUUCUUCGAUAAUGCUCAGCAAAUCGUGUCGCUUCGGAAUUUUAAGCUCAGCAAUUCGAGAGAUCGUGCUCACCGCAAGCCAGAAAAAUAGACUAUGUUGUGAAGCGAUGGUCACUAUUUAUUAAAAAUCACGGUUUAAUAAAAAAUUAAACUAUUAAAAAAAUUAGGAAAAAUGUAUUAAUAAGCUUGCGUAAUAUUGUGUAGGAAAAAAGCUGAAAAUUUCAGUAUUUUCUCUAUCUGCAACAUAUAAACCCUCAAGUAUACCAAUUAAUUGAUAUACGAAUUGGAAUAGGUUCGCCAAAUUUUGGAAGAAGUCUAGAAAAUAACCCCUUGAAAGCUACCUAAAAAUUGUUGUAGUUCGAUGCAAUAAAAAAAUCCCCAAAAAUGAAAUGUAUC